UAAGCUGUUCACACUUUUGAUCGCCUUCUUGCAGUGUCAGUACCACUGGAAAAAGUUACAAACAUACAUACAUACAAGUGAAGCUAAUAAAAGCAUAUUAAAAAUGAAAAUAAUUGAAUGUUAAGCCAAAGAACUAGAACUUGGACGAAGUAAAAGAACAGGGGGAAUUUGUUUCUAACUUACAUUGAGUUACUGCCGUCCCUAAAUAAAAGCGUGGAGUGGAACGUUUUUUACCGCACAGCGUUAACGCCCGCGUGGCAUCCCUAAAUAAAAGCGGCAACUUUACGUCAAAUGUCAACACUGGUUGCUUCAGUUGUGAUUUUCUUAUUGUGAAAAGAGAGAAGUGUGAAGAAAGAACAAUAAUUUACUUGAAUUGCAAUUUUAAAGUUUCAUUUUUCAAAGUAUACUAUAAAAACGUUAUUUAAAAAGAAUAAUUUUAUAUUAUGGAUGACAUUGAUGUUCUGGAGGAUUUAUUUCUAUUGAAUAUGAUUGCACGUGGACAACGCUGUGGAAAUCAAGAGAUUUUCAGAACACGUAAAAAUCAUGGAUUUUGCUCAAGCGGUGUUAAUGUUUUAAUUAAAAAGAACACAGAGGUAUUUGUAAAAUCAACAAGAUUUACGCAUGAACAGUUCAAAGUAUUAUUAAAUUUUGGUUGAACCAUGGUUACGAAAGUACUCGCGCAGGAGUCCCAUUGAGUCAGAGCAGAGAUUGUACAUAACCUUGAAUUUCUUGGCUCAUGGCAGCGCUCUUCAUGUGUUAUCUAUGAAGUUUCGAAUUGGACUAGAGACAGCCAGGUCCGUGGUUUUAGAAACGUGUGAAGUAUUGUGGAGAAUAUUGGCAAGUAUUAAUGUUAGUCCACCUACUAAUGCGGAAUGGAAACAAAUUUCGGAGGAUUUUGGAAUGCAACCAAAUUACCACAUUGUUUAGGGGCAAUAGAUGGUAAACAUAUGCGAAUAAAUUGCAUGCCUAAUUCAGGAUCACAAUAUUUUAAUUAUAAACAAUUUAAUAGCAUCGUAAGUAUAUAAGUGAAUGAUCAAAAAGGAAACUAAAUAAAAAUUUUGCACAUAUAGGUUUUUUACGUUUGUGGACGUUGGCGCAUAUGGCAGUCAAAGCGAUGGCGGUGUGUUUCGCAGUUUGGAACAAUGAUUUUAAAUAAAUCUAUAGAUGUCCCAGUUGCAACAAAUUUGCCCAACUCAGAAAUAAUAUUUCCAUACUACUUCGUGGCUGACGCCGCAUUCCCUUUGAAAGAAAACAUAAUGAAGCCAUAUGCAAGUUACUGAUGUCAGUAAAGAAGUGUUCAACAAAAGAUUGUGUAGUGCUAGAAUACGAAUUGAGAUUGCUUUUGGUGAAAAAAAAUUAUUCUCUACAGAAAUGGAAGUAUAUUGCAUAAUUUAAAAAAAAAUUUUACCUUUAAGGUAUAUUAACUUCUCGAUGGAGAGUUUUGAGAACAUUCAUAUCCUUUUCGCCGAAAAAUGCAAAAAAAAGUUUUUUGGCUGUACUAACAGCCAAUACAUCGAUUCAAUCAGCUCUUAAUUUAAGAAAUGAUCUUUGUCAAUAUUUAAAUUCUUCAUAAUACAAAAAUCUAUAUUUAAAAAUACAGUAUAAACUCGGUAACCGCAACCCUCGAUACACGCAACUCCUCGAUUCAUGCAACACUAUAAAACAUAGCAUUGUAACCUUUAUAAGUGCAACUACUCAAAAAUAUUGUCCUCAAUAACUGCAACUUUACAUCUAAAUAUGUUUUGCUUCAGUUCUUUUUUUGUCGGUUUCUUCUUAUGGCAUUUUUUUUGUUAUAUAUUCAAUAUAUUUUGUUAUAUAUUCGUUGCUCUGUCGACUUUACUGUUUUUGUGUGUGUGUUAAGAGCAAUUGUCAACAAAUGACUUUUAUUACCAGUUUAUUUUGCAACGCGCCAGUAGUGUUUUAUGUGUAAAAGUCAUGGUGGUCACAAAAAAAUUAAUAAAACUCACAAUUAAAGAAAAAACUGAAAUUUUGGAUAAACUAGAAAGUGGUGUAUCGACAAAGCUCUUUGUAUUGAUUAUAAAGUUCACAAGUCGACAAUAACGAGAAUAAAGAAGAAAAAAGCUUGUAUACUUAAAUAUGACACAAAUAUGGAAGCUGGGCCAGGAAAACGGCAAACCUUAAAAUCUUUUGAAUACCCAAGAAUGGAAAAGGCUCUCUACAAGAGGUUUUUGAAACAAAGGAGUGAAAAUGUGCCUAUAUCCGUCGGUAUCGUCAAAGCAAAAGCUCGCAAGCUUCAUGAGAAAAUAAAAGAAAAGACAGGAUGUUUUCAUGCAAGUAAUGGUUGGGUAUCUAAUUUCAAAAAGCGAUAUGGCCUCCGCCACAUAAAAAAGAAGCUUUCCCCUUUCCAAUAAGACAGCGUCCGUCGACCCAUUUGUAAUACGUUUUAGAAUUAAAAUCAAGGAGCUUGAUCUUUCUGCAGAACAAAUUUAUUAUGCCGACGAGUCCGGAUUGUUUUUCAGGCAGAUACCAGAUAAAACGUUGGUGAGCUUCAAGGAAUCUGCUCCUGGUAGUUAGUAAGGAAAGAAUAACAUUUCUCGCAAGUUAAGCUCUUUAUCAUUGGAAAAGCAAAAAACCCUAGAGCAUUCAAAAAUUUUCAAAAAAUACCCAUUGUCUACAAGGCUAACAAGAACUCUUGGAUGACUUAUUUGUUUUUCGAAGACUAGUUUCAUCAUACGUUUGUUCCUGAUGUGAGAAAUACGAAAUGUAUUGAAUUUUUGUUUAAAAUUUAUGUGUAUUUUUUUGGAUUGUUAUAGGUACGUGAAUUUCAAAAUCAAAGGGACUUCCCAAAAAAGCCCUAUUGGUCUUGGAUAACUCCCCGUGUCAUCCUAAAGACAAUGAGAUGAAAAGUGAUGAUGAAAUGAUAUUCGUUAUGUGUCUUCCACCUAACUGUACCGGGAUUCUCCAACCAAAGCACCAAAAUGUUAUUAACUUAACAAAAGUCUAUUACAAAAAAAGUCUUUUGGAGCAUUUAAUAGGGAAUAAAACCCGAUAUAUUUAAAAAAUAAAAUUUUGAAUAAAAAAAUAAGAUUUCUAUAUCAUAAAACGAUUUUCAUUUGUCAUAUUUCUUGUUAUAUAUUUUUCCUCGCUGGGUGCAACAAACUCAAUAAGUACAACCACCUACAUUUCUAUUAGUUGCGAUUACCGAGUUCGUACUAUAUAUAUAUAUAUAUUUAGAAAAAAUUAACAACUAUUUACAAAGUUAGUAUUUAAUAAGUAGGAAAAUUAUAAUUAAUAUUUAGAAAAAAUUAACAACUACAGUAUACUCUCGAAAAGUAAAUCGAUUGGUAUUUUGUGUAAUUUACUUUUUCGAAUAAUUUACUUUUCCAAAUAUAUACAUAAAUUAUGGCUGACUUCCUAAACGUCCGUAUGCAAAGUUUUUAUGCCGAAUACUUUGCAAAGUUGCUUCUUCUAAACUUUGUAUAAAUGAACUUUGUAACACUGUUGCGUUUAGGCACAUCUCUAAUGCGCAAAAAAUGGCCAAACAAAAUAUUUUGUUAGAAGAAAUUUUUAAUUUAAUUGAUAUUCAAGAAUCAAAUUCGUUGUAAUAUCAAAAAUACUUUUACAAAAACGUAAAAAAUUAGCUGCAUUAUUAGUGCAGAAAAAUGUGCCAAGGAGAAGUAUACCAAAAAACAAAAAAUUUUUGGAAACCAUUAUCGAGAUGCCAAAUGACGUGUUCACGUAGUCAUUUCAGAAUGCAAAUCUCAACUUUCGAGUAUAUUUUCUGACCAUUUUUGUACGACAAUUCAAAAAGUCUGACACCUGAUUUGCAUCGUUUUCAUUUUUAAACCAGUGGAUCAAGUAGGAGAGUUUAUUUACUAAAAAGACGCGAUAAAGAAGAGA